GACGAACGCUGGCGGCGUGCUUAACACAUGCAAGUCGAACGGAAAGGCCCUGCUUGCAGGGUACUCGAGUGGCGAACGGGUGAGUAACACGUGGGUGAUCUGCCCUGCACUUCGGGAUAAGCCUGGGAAACUGGGUCUAAUACCGGAUAGGAGCCAUUUUUAGUGUGAUGGUUGGAAAGUUUUUUCGGUGUAGGAUGAGCUCGCGGCCUAUCAGCUUGUUGGUGGGGUAAUGGCCUACCAAGGCGGCGACGGGUAGCCGGCCUGCGAGGGUGGACGGCCACAUUGGGACUGAGCUACGGCCCAGACUCCUACGGGAGGCAGCAGUGGGGAAUAUUGCACAAUGGGCGCAAGCCUGAUGCAGCGACGCCGCGGGGGGGAUGACGGCCUUCGGGUUGGAAACUCCUUUCGCUAGGGACGAAGCUUUUUGUGACGGUACCUAGAUAAGAAGCACCGGCUAACUACGUG
rnacentral:rRNA from 1 species